AUGUGGAAUGUUUUUGGUCAAGCUGAGUUGGUUUAACUGCUCAAUGAGAUAUAACUGUGUAUUGGAAAUGCUUCCUGGGUUAAUGUGGAAUGUUUUUGGUCAUGCUGAGUUGGUCUAACUGCUCAAUGAGUUAUAACUGUGUAUUAGAAAUGUUUCCUGGGUUAAUGUGGAAUGUUUUUGGUACAAGAAGUUUUCUUCUAUCUCUUUUAGUUCUUGACUUAUAACCUAUCAUACUAUUAGACAUUUGUUAAUUGCUUCAUUUUUGCUUUUAGGUCAUGUUGAGUUGGUCUAACUGCUCAAUGAGUUAUAACUGUGUAUUAGAAAUGCUUCCUGGGUUAAUGUGGAAUGUUUUUGGUACAAAAGGUUUUCUUCUAUCUCUUUUAGCUUUUGACUUAUAACCUGUUAUCCUAUUAGACAUACGUUAAUUACUACAUUUUUCCUUUGAGGUCAUGCUCAGUUGCUCUAACUGCUCAUUGAGUUAUAAGUGUGUAUUAGAAAUGCUUCCUGGGCUAAUGUGGAAUG
rnacentral:lncRNA from 1 species